AGAGUUUGAUCAUGGCUCAGGACGAACGCUGGCGGCGUGCCUAAUACAUGCAAGUCGAACGAAGCUUUCUUUCACCGAAUGCUUGCAUUCACCGAAAGAAGCUUAGUGGCGAACGGGUGAGUAACACGUAGGCAACCUGCCCAAAAGAGGGGGAUAACACUUGGAAACAGGUGCUAAUACCGCAUAACCAUGAACACCGCAUGAUGUUCGUGUAAAAGACGGCUUUUGCUGUCACUUUUGGAUGGGCCUGCGGCGUAUUAACUUGUUGGUGGGGUAACGGCCUACCAAGGUGAUGAUACGUAGCCGAACUGAGAGGUUGAUCGGCCACAUUGGGACUGAGACACGGCCCAAACUCCUACGGGAGGCAGCAGUAGGGAAUCUUCCACAAUGGACGAAAGUCUGAUGGAGCAACGCCGCGUGAAUGAAGAAGGCCUUCGGGUCGUAAAAUUCUGUUGUCAGAGAAGAAUGUGCGUGAGAGUAACUGUUCACGUAUUGACGGUAUCUGACCAGAAAGCCACGGCUAACUACGUGCCAGCAGCCACGGUAAUACGUAGGUGGCAAGCGUUGUCCGGAUUUAUUGGGCGUAAAGGGAACGCAGGCGGUCUUUUAAGUCUGAUGUGAAAGCCUUCGGCUUAACCGAAGUAGUGCAUUGGAAACUGGAAGACUUGAGUGCAGAAGAGGAGAGUGGAACUCCAUGUGUAGCGGUGAAAUGCGUAGAUAUAUGGAAGAACACCAGUGGCGAAAGCGGCUCUCUGGUCUGUAACUGACGCUGAGGUUCGAAAGCGUGGGUAGCAAACAGGAUUAGAUACCCUGGUAGUCCACGCCGUAAACGAUGAGUGCUAAGUGUUGGAGGGUUUCCGCCCUUCAGUGCUGCAGCUAACGCAUUAAGCACUCCGCCUGGGGAGUACGGUCGCAAGACUGAAACUCAAAGGAAUUGACGGGGGCCCGCACAAGCGGUGGAGCAUGUGGUUUAAUUCGAAGCAACGCGAAGAACCUUACCAGGUCUUGACAUCUUCUGACAAUUCCAGAGAUGGAACGUUCCCUUCGGGGACAGAAUGACAGGUGGUGCAUGGUUGUCGUCAGCUCGUGUCGUGAGAUGUUGGGUUAAGUCCCGCAACGAGCGCAACCCUUAUUGUCAGUUGCCAUCAUUAAGUUGGGCACUCUGGCGAGACUGCCGGUGACAAACCGGAGGAAGGUGGGGAUGACGUCAAAUCAUCAUGCCCCUUAUGACCUGGGCUACACACGUGCUACAAUGGACGGUACAACGAGUCGCUAACUCGCGAGGGCAAGCUAAUCUCUUAAAGCCGGUCUCAGUUCGGAUUGCAGGCUGCAACUCGCCUGCAUGAAGUCGGAAUCGCUAGUAAUCGCGAAUCAGCAUGUCGCGGUGAAUACGUUCCCGGGCCUUGUACACACCGCCCGUCACACCAUGAGAGUUUGUAACACCCAAAGUCGGUGGGGUAACCUUUUGGAGCCAGCCGCCUAAGGUGGGACAGAUGAUUGGGGUGAAGUCGUAACAAGGUA
rnacentral:rRNA from 1 species